AAAAAAAAAAAAAAGAACGUAAGGACUAUUCCUAUUGAAACCAGUUUUCUUAUAAUAUUUGAGGGAUCUGAACAAGAUCCAAAGUCUAGAUACGUCGUUUAAGAUGGCUUGAUCCCUUCAAUGAAAUUUGACUUGGGCUAUACUGCAGGUGCAAAAGGUUUUCCAGUGGCGGUAACUUGAGAUGCUGGGUUCCACCUAAGCUACUUGCACUCUUAUGUUAGUAUUAACUUCUCAAGAACUAAUUCUACCAUUUCAUUCCUUUAAAAAUCAAGCAUUGAUUGAUGUUAUUAUCUUCUAAGAAUUGAAUUUUAAUAACUCUUUUUAUGCUGUACAUUAUUCAUAUUUGCUGUGCUUUGGACUCAGCAAGGCUUGGCAUAAAAUCAGUAACGUGGAAUGAAAAACGCUGUUGACUAAGGCCUGAUGGUAGCUCACUGUUUUUUGCUCACAAGACACACUAUGAAUAGCUAAGGCAAGGCAUCUUUUCAGCAACCUUUGCUAUAUUAUCUAAGAUUAUGCAAUGAGGAUAUGGAUCCCAAGAUUUAGGUCUUAAAUUGUCCCAGUUCAAGUCAUCCUUUGCAGCUGGACAAGAAAAAGUAGGAAAACUUUUUUACUUGGGGGAAUCUGUCUGGGCUCUUUCAAAAGGAAGACUCUUGCACUUUAAUUCCAAAAUGAGAAGGUUAAGGUACAAGUCUGUGUGAGUGCAAUGCUUUCUGCAUCGGUUAAUUCUCAUUGGGCAAUUCAUUGUCUGAUGUCAUUUCUUCAUAUGGUCAAAGGCAAUUCUAAGUCUAGUUUGAGAGUCUACAUUCACAUUGGUGAGUCCCUGGAAAAUAUAUGAGAAGGACAGAUAGAGUCUCUUGAGGCUUAGAGCUCUCGCAGAAGCUGCAUGAAAGAUGAUUCUAGCUGGCUACAGGGAUUUUCACUCAUGAGGUACUUCUCUUUGUGAUGAAGUUAUACUGAUUCAAGAAAACUUAUUUGAUUUUCACCGCCACUUCUGAUCUAUUUGUGAUUUCAUCAUAUUUUCAUAAUCAAUAGAAUCAAAGAGGUCUUCAUGAUUGCCAUGUAUUUUAAACUUGUGAAAUUGUGAAUCCCAUUGUUUACAAGGUAAAUUACAAGGUAAUGAACAGACAGAUGGAAAAGCCAAUACAUGGGAAAACUCCUGGUUGGAUUUUUAAGUAAUCAUAUGUCCUUACUCUUCUAAUCAAGCAUAUACUUCUGAAUCUGCUGCUUUCAUUUUUUGGAGUGUAAUUAUUAUUGCUCUUAACCUUGUGAUGAUCAAAAUGCCUUAUCGCCUUGUUUUUCUCCAUUUAGAUGACAAAUGCUGCAAAUGAGGCUUGUCAGCCCUUUCAAUGAAGGACGAGGGGCCUGGACGGUUGUCACGGCCUAGAUGAGGCAGUUCACGGCCUAGAUGAGGCCUCAAGAAUUUGUGCGGCUCAGAUCACGUCUUGUAACUCGAUUUUCACGCCGUGUGGGACCCACAAAAAUGUUGUUCUAAUGUUACUCGCUGUUGUUCUAUUGUUACACCUUGUACAGAUGAUGUUACAUCAUGUAUAAAUGGUGUUACACCUUCCGGAGCGGUUGUCAACCCCGCGUCCUUCAAUGAAAUAUAGCCUGAUCGAAUUGAGAAGCAUUCGUCUGAAGGGUUCUAAGUUGGCACAUCUGAAAUGCUUGAGUAGUAACUUUCCCACCAAACCAUUAGAAGACUCCCUAUGGGAUGUGAAUCUUCUUAUCUGAACGGAAGAUGAUGUCAGGAGGGCAGCUGCCCCAACAUUGAGUGGUGUAAGAGUUCAAAGCUUUUUGUACCUUGUGAUUUAUCAUUUUUUAAUUGGAUACAAAGUUGUCAUAAUUUGCUCAAAUUCUAAGGAACUCUGGUCUACAGCUGUCUCAUUCCCUGUUUAACUGAUCUUUAGAUACAGGCUCUGAAGAGAUUUCACAUGGCCACUUGUACAUAUCAUAUAUUUAUCAGAUUAUCAUCUGCUUCAG
rnacentral:lncRNA from 1 species